rnacentral:rRNA from 1 species
GUGGGGAAUAUUGGACAAUGGCCGAGAGGCUGAUCCAGCCAUGCCGCGUGCGGGAGGACGGCCCUAUGGGUUGUAAACCGCUUUUGUUGGGGAGCAAUAAGUGUUACGUGUAACAUGAUGAGAGUACCCAGCGAAUAAGCAUCGGCUAACUCCGUGCCAGCAGCCGCGGUAAUACGGAGGAUGCAAGCGUUAUCCGGAUUUAUUGGGUUUAAAGGGUGCGUAGGCGGGCUGCUAAGCGUGAGGUGAAAUGCCACGGCUCAACCGUGGAACUGCCUCGCGAACUGGUAGUCUUGAAUGUCCGUGCCGUGGGAGGAAUGUGUGGUGUAGCGGUGAAAUGCAUAGAGAUCACACAGAACACCGAUUGCGAAGGCAUCUCACGAACGGAUGAUUGACGCUGAGGCACGAAAGCGUGGGGAUCAAACAGG